CUACGGGCCGCUGCAGUGAGGAAUAUUGCACAAUGGGGGGAACCCUGAUGCAGCAACGCCGCGUGGAGGGUGACGCAUUUCGGUGUGUAAACUCCUUUUAUAUGUCAAGAAAAUGACGGUAGCAUAUGAAUAAGCACCGGCUAACUCCGUGCCAGCAGCCGCGGUAGAUACGGAGGGUGCAAGCGUUACUCGGAAUCGCUGGGCGUAAAGGACGCGUAGGCGGGUUGGAAAGUCAGGUGUGACAUCCUACAGCUUAACUGUAGAACUGCACUUGAAACUUCUAAUCUAGAGUAUGGGAGGGGGAGAUGGAAUUAGUGGUGUAGGGGUAAAAUCCGUAGAUAUCACUAGGAAUACCUAAAGCGAAGGCGAUCUCCUGGAACAUUACUGACGCUAAGGCGUGAAAGCGUGGGGAGCAAACAGGAUUAGAUACCCCAGUAGUC
rnacentral:rRNA from 1 species